rnacentral:rRNA from 1 species
AGUAACGGUAAGGCAGGCGAGAAACCUGCCCACCGAUAGACUAAGGUUUCCUGAACAACGUUAAUCGAUUCAGGGUUAGUCGGGACCUAAGGCGAAGCCGAACGGCGUAGUCGAUGGACAACUGGUUAAUAUUCCAGUACUUGCUUUACUGCGAUGUGGUGACGAAGUAGUGAAAGUUCUGCGGGGCAACGAAAGUUCCCGUUAAAAGAUGUAGGUAUAGGUUGUGUAGGAAAAUCCGCACGACUUGCCGAAUCCGAUAGUAUCACGAGUCCUCGGAUAAGUGAAUAUGAACCUAAUCAGACUUCCAAGAAAAACCACUAAGCUUCAGGUAAAAGCAACCCGUACCGCAAACCGACACAGGUAGUCAAGGAGAGAAUCCUGAGGUGCUCGAGUGAUCCGCGGCUAAGGAACUAGGCAAAUUAACCCUGUAACUUCGGGAAAAAGGGUGCCCUCCGCAAGGAGGGCCACAGUAAAAUGGCUCUGGCGACUGUUUAUCAAAAACACAUGGCUAUGCUAAACUGAAAGGUGAUGUAUAUGGCCCGACACCUGCCCGGUGCUGGAAGGUUAAGAGGAGAGGUUAUUCGCAAGAAGAAGCUUUGAAUUGAAGCCCCAGUAAACGGCGGCCGUAACUAUAACGGUCCUAAGGUAGCGAAAUUCCUUGUCGGGUAAGUUCCGACCUGCACGAAUGGUGUAACGAUCUGAGCACUGUCUCAGCCGCGAGCUCGGUGAAAUUGUAGUAUCGGUGAAGAUGCCGAUUACCCGCAACGGGACGGAAAGACCCCGUGCACCUUCACUAUAGCUUAACAUUGACUUUGGAUAAAUCAUGUGUAGGAUAGGUGGGAGACUAUGAAGUGGUGUCGCUAGGCAUCAUGGAGUCACCCUUGAAAUACCACCCUUGAUUUAUUUGGAGUCUAACUCCUCACGGAGGACAUUGUUUGGCGGGUAGUUUGACUGGGGUGGUCGCCUCCAAAAAAGUAUCGGAGGCUUUCAAAGGUACCCUCAAUACGCUUGGUAACCGUAUGUAGAGUGCAAUAGCAUAAGGGUGCUUGACUGUGAGACUUACAAGUCGAGCAGGGCCGAAAGGCGGAUAUAGUGAUCCGGUGGUUCCGCAUGGAAGGGCCAUCGCUCAAAGGAUAAAAGGUACGCCGGAUAACAGGCUGAUCCCUCCCAAGAGCUCAUAUCGACGGGGGGGUUUGGCACCUCGAUGUCGGCUCGUCACAUCCUGGGGCUGGAGAAGGUCCCAAGGGUUCGGCUGUUCGCCGAUUAAAGUGGCACGCGAGCUGGGUUCAGAACGUCGUGAGACAGUUCGGUCCCUAUCUGUUGUGGGCGUUAGAAAUUUGAGAGGACCUGACUCUAGUACGAGAGGACCGAGUUGGACGAACCGCUAGUGUACCAGUUGUGGUGUCAACUGCAUCGCUGGGUAGCUAUGUUCGGAUGAGAUAAGUGCUGAAAGCAUCUAAGUACGAAACUCGCCUCAAGAUAAGAUUUCUUUAAAGGGUCGUAGAAGAUUACUACGUUGAUAGGUUGUAGGUGUAAAGACAGUAAUGUCAAAGCCGAGCAAUACUAAUUACCCUAAA